AAUAAACUGAUGACUGAGAGUAGUACAUAUGGCAGAAGUCGUACAGAGAGCUGCAGGUGGUGGGAUUGCAGCGGAUGAAGCAAUAUGGAAUGGACUCAGGAAGGUGGGAGUAAAGGCGAAAGCUGAGUAAUGCCCGACGGGAUUUCCGCCCGUUAUCAAGGGAAGACGUAUGGAAGUACGUUCAGCGAGUGGAUGCAAUGCAUCAAACCAGGUGGUACCGCGAGUAUUGUAUAUAAAAUAUACAGCCCGUCCUUUUU
rnacentral:ncRNA from 1 species